CCAGACUCCUACGGGAGGCAGCAGUCGAGAAUCAUUCACAAUGGGGGAAACCCUGAUGCAGCGACGCCGCGUGAGUGAAGAAGUAUUUCGGUAUGUAAAGCUCUAUCAGCAGGGAAGAAAUACUGACCAUAGGGUCAGCAGACGGUACUUGACUAAGAAGCCCCGGCUAACUACGUGCCAGCAGCCGCGGUAAUACGUAGGGGGCAAGCGUUAUCCGGAUUUACUGGGUGUAAAGCGCUCGUAGGCGGUAUGUCAAGUCAAGGGUGAAAUCCCCGCGCUCAACGUGGGAACUGCCUUUGAAACUGGCAAACUGGAGUGUGUGAGAGGAUAGUGGAAUUCCAGGUGUAGGAGUGAAAUCCGUAGAUAUCUGGAGGAACAUCAGUGGCGAAGGCGACUAUCUGGCACAUAACUGACGCUGAGGAGCGAAAGCGUGGGUAGCAAACAGGAUUAGAUACCCCCGUA
rnacentral:rRNA from 1 species